CUGUUUUGCAUACUGGUGGUGACAAGUCGAGGCUUGUUCAUUUGACACAGUCCUGUGGUCACAGCCAGUCUUUCUGUAGCUCUAACCAGUGGAGAAGGGGGUUGUCUGGAUCCUCUGAACUCUUGAGUGGAACUUCCUGAAUGAUUUAUUGGAGAAAAACCUUCCUGGAAGCAGCAGAAGAACAAACACAGAAUCCCUGGCUGGGCAGAGCCUCGUGGGCUGGCCUCCACCAUUCGGGAGCAGUUGCAUCUUGGAGGCCUGAUCUCUGGACCAGAAAGGAAUUAAAAAGAUGCCCCCUCAAGAUGGCCGCUCCUGUCAGCUGCGUGGAGCGUCCUUCAAGGCUAUGCUGAACCUUAUGGAUUUACAGUGAUACCCGGCCGCCUGGGAAUAACACUGGUGGAAGCAGUGUCCUGAGUGACCCACACCUGCCGCACCUCUGGAUGCUCUCCGUGGUUUUAAGGAAGGCCCUGGCGGCAUCCGCGUGGUUUCCUGCAGCCCGUGUGCCUCAUCUCCGACAGGAACGUUUGGCUGGGUCUCUGCCGGCUGUCCUGGGGGCUCCUGUGAAACGCGCAGUGCCUUCCUCGGAACACAGCAGUAAGCCCGCCGGCUACUCCAGCCCUGCCUAGAUUCCCAGGAAAUCGGCAGGAAGAGAACCACCUGCUGCUCGCUGGCCUGCUGUUUCCUGGCAGUAGCUGUGGGAACACCCAGGGGCGGAGGACAAACACAUUACACACGGGGACUUCCAUCCUCCAGGCGGAAAGAUGCCUGCACCUUGCACUUGCUUGCUGGCUGGAAACGGACUGAAAGUGGCGAAGGUGGAAGCAGACGGACCAGUCAGGAGGCCGCUGCAGAGAUCCAGGGAGGGGAUGAUGGCGGCCUGGAUGGACGCGUGGCUGCAGAGGAGACUGCGAGAAGUCACCAGGCCAGAGACCCAGGGAGAUGGGGGAGAGGCUUGACGUGGACCUCUGAGAUGGUCACAUGCAGCUGACACUGUCAUCUGGGCAGAUCUGACUUCACUGAUUGACUCAAUUGUACGAGCCAAUCGACCCAGCAGCUGGGACGGGACUCCUGAUCUGACAGCCACUGAUUCCGGAGGAAGGGGCAGUGGCGGGUCCCGCGGCCAGAGGCCAGAGCUCCCUGCAGACGAAGCUCCAGUGUGGAUGGAGGAGGUCGGAGUGACCACACGAUUCAGCCUCCUAGCAUCACCUGCCAAACACAGGACCAAACGUGCAGAGGAACUGUGUAUGUCCUAAAACUGCAGGUGCCUGAGAGCAGGGAGACGGUACAAGACUGGGUGAGGUGAGGUGCUUUCUCCUUAGUGCUGACUCAGUAAAUGUUUGUGGGAUGAUUGAGUGAGUCUGAUGAACAGCUCCUGGACUCUUUAAGAGUUUAGACAGGGAUCCUCGGAAAAAGCAGCAAACCCUAGGACCUUCUCAUGGGAAGGUGACCUUCCUGGACAGCAGUUAUGCUCCCCAGCUGGCAUGGGGCAGGGAGGGAGGGACUCCUGAGCCAACAGACACUUCUUCAGUUCAAAUUCCACCGAAGUUAAAAUUUCAUUGCUGUCUUUCUUUUCCUUGCGUCACCACUGGCUCUACUUCUGUCGAUUCUGAAUAUUUGUUUUCUUUAAACAACUUAGUGGAGAUAGAAUUCACAUACCGUGCAAUUAAUUUAUCAGUCUUAGAACUUUUUCACCACCUUAAAAAGGAAUCUUGUCCCCUUUAGCUGUCCCUUCCCCAUCCCCCUUCCACCCCCAAUCCUGAACAACCUGCGGUCCACUCCCUGUUGCUAUGGACUCGCCUUUUCUGGCCGUUCCAUGUAAGUGGAGCCAUACAGCAUGUGGUCUUUUGUGACUGGCUUCUUUCACUUGGCACGAUGGUUUCAAGGUUCAUCCACAUUGUCUCCUGUCUGUACUUCAUGCCUCUUCAUGCCCGGACAGUGUCCCACUGUAUGGGUGUAUACCGCAUUUUAUUCAUUCAUCAGUUGAUGGACGUUGGGUUUUUCCUUUUUGGGGGUGGUAUUGUGAAUAAUUGUGCUCUGAAUGCCCAAGGUUGUGUGUGGAUGUAUGUUUCCACCUUUCUUGAGUAUACACACCUAGGAGUGGGAUUGCUGGGUCACGUGGUAACUCUGUGUGUUACCUUUUGAGGAGCUGCCGGACUGUCUUCUGAAGCGCCUGCUAACUGCCUAUUCUUGAGCACCAUUCGUGCCUCGUCAUGAAACAGAACACGAUCCCAUGUAUGUGGAUUUUCAGAGCACGCGAAAUGAAUCAGCGGUGCUAGAAGUCAGCCCACUGCUCGCCUCUGGCUUGGUGCCCUCCCCAGGACCGGUUUGUUCAUGGAAUAAUGGCAGUAUGGGCGUAUGGAAAGUACGUGGAGUUUGAAGAAGACAGACCUGGCUACCCCGAGGGGCCGAGUCUCCGUGGCUCUUUUGGAGCAGAUGUAACCAAGAAAUCAAUAGAGCUGUUAGAUUAAUCCAUGGCAACCAUAAUGUCACUGCAUCUCCUGCCCCGUGAUGUUGACAGAGAUGUCAGAGCCAGGAGGAGGGGAAGUACUUAAAAGAACGAACGGGGGCCUCUGCAGUGAAAGGGGGAAUUAAAACCCCACGGAGCCUCACUUAGCGGACUGGAAAUUGCAGGUGGCUGCCUCCGGCAUAAUCAGGUCUUCCUUCAGAGGAUGCAGCGGCUUGGCAUCGGGCUUAGCGGGAGCAUUGGGAGGUCCUUCGGGAAGAUGAAAUCAGCAGCAGUGGAGCAGCAGCCUGAGCUGAAAUCUCUCGUCUUUAGGUACCAGGUGCUCAGCAUCACCAGAGGUGGGGUGGGGGUGGGCAGAGCUCUUGUGGUGUCCUGCUUCCCACUGGCCUUUGAAAAUUAUGAUGAUUAUUAUGAAUAAUACCCCCCGACACAAGAGAGAGGGCAUCCCUUAUGAAUACAGGGUUUGCUUCGUGGAAGCACCCAGAGUAUGUUUGAAGGGUGAAUUUUGGUCCAGUCUACAGAGCACAUCCAGUUAGUGGACAACUGUGUAUUGAGUGCCUUCUAGGUGCCAGGUGCUGCUCUCGGUGCAGGGGAUAGUGACUAGGAACUCUGCAGCAGAUAAAAUACAGAAAAUCCGUGCCUCAGGGAGCUCAUAAUCUAGUGGGGACUAAGAAGCGAGCUAAGCGAUUCGCUUGCAUUUCCUCUCUCCUGCAGAGGUGGGCAGCCUACAGGAGUGCUACCCCUGCCAGAAUUUCCCUCUCCCUGGGGGGAGGGGGGGUGUUACUAGCGUCCAGUAGGUAGAGCCAGGGAUGCUACCAAACAUCCUGCCUUGCACAGGACAGCUCUGCCACGAAGACUCAUCCAGCCUGCAAUGCCAGCAGCGUCAAGGUGGAGAGAGAAAGGGCUGCUCAGCCAGUGUCUGUGUUUCCCAGCUUCCCACACGGCUGGGUGUGGCCACGUGGCUGGUUCUCGCCAAUGGCAUGUGACCAGGGGUGCUGUGCCCACACCCAGGUGCAAGGGCUUUUAAUAAGCCAGUGUGCCCUUUUCUGCUUCCUCAGGCUGGAUGAAGAGAACAACAACGUCCCAGGUGACAGUGGAAUGACCUGGGGCCCUAAGUCGCCAUCUGGGGAGAGCUGUCUGCCCAUCAGAGAUGCUGUCCUUGGACUGACAUGGGAAUAAGAAAUAAAACUCUGUGGUGUUUUAA